rnacentral:rRNA from 1 species
UACGUAGGGUGCAAGCGUUAAUCGGAAUUACUGGGCGUAAAGCGUGCGCAGGCGGUUUUGUAAGUCUGUCGUGAAAUCCCCGGGCUCAACCUGGGAAUUGCGAUGGAGACUGCAAGGCUAGAAUCUGGCAGAGGGGGGGUAGAAUUCCACGUGUAGCAGUGAAAUGCGUAGAGAUGUGGAGGAACACCGAUGGCGAAGGCAGCCCCCCUGGGUCAAGAUUGACGCUCAUGCACGAAAGGCGUGGGGAGCAAACGAGG